UACAGAGGGGGCAAGCGUUGUUCGGAAUUACUGGGCGUAAAGGGCGCGUAGGCGGCCUUCUAAGUCGAACGUGAAAUCCCCGGGCUCAACCCGGGAACUGCGUCCGAUACUGGAAGGCUUGAAUCCGGGAUGAGGGAUGCGGAAUUCCGAGGUGUAGCGGUGAAAAUGCGCAGAGUAUCAAGGAGGAACACCGGUGGCGAAGGCGG
rnacentral:rRNA from 1 species